rnacentral:tRNA from 1 species
CGGGCAGAUGGCUGAGUGGUCUAAGGCGACCGACUGUAAAUCGGUUGAAUUUCUUCAUCGUAGGUUCAAAUCCUACUCUUCCCAA